rnacentral:rRNA from 1 species
GCUUAACACAUGCAAGUCGAGGGGCAGCAUGGUCUUAGCUUGCUAAGGCCGAUGGCGACCGGCGCACGGGUGAGUAACGCGUAUCCAACCUGCCUUACACUCUUGGACAGCCUUCUGAAAGGGAGAUUAAUACAAGAUGUUAUCAUGAGUAAGCAUUUUCACAUGAUUAAAGGUUUACCGGUGUAAGAUGGGGAUGCGUUCCAUUAGAUAGUAGGCGGGGUAACGGCCCACCUAGUCUUCGAUGGAUAGGGGUUCUGAGAGGAAGGUCCCCCACAUUGGAACUGAGACACGGUCCAAACUCCUACGGGAGGCAGCAGUGAGGAAUAUUGGUCAAUGGACGAGAGUCUGAACCAGCCAAGUAGCGUGAAGGAUGAAGGUUCUAUGGAUUGUAAACUUCUUUUAUACGGGAAUAAACGAAUCCACGUGUGGAUUUUUGCAUGUACCGUAUGAAUAAGGAUCGGCUAACUCCGUGCCAGCAGCCGCGGUAAUACGGAGGAUCCGAGCGUUAUCCGGAUUUAUUGGGUUUAAAGGGAGCGUAGAUGGGUUGUUAAGUCAGUUGUGAAAGUUUGCGGCUCAACCGUAAAAUUGCAAUUGAUACUGGCAGUCUUGAGUACAGUUGAGGUAGGCGGAAUUCGUGGUGUAGCGGUGAAAUGCUUAGAUAUCACGAAGAACUCCGAUUGCGAAGGCAGCUUACUAACCUGUAACUGACAUUGAUGCUCGAAAGUGUGGGUAUCAAACAGGAUUAGAUACCCUGGUAGUCCACACGGUAAACGAUGAAUACUCGCUGUAGGCGAUAUACAGUCUGCGGCCAAGCGAAAGCAUUAAGUAUUCCACCUGGGGAGUACGCCGGCAACGGUGAAACUCAAAGGAAUUGACGGGGGCCCGCACAAGCGGAGGAACAUGUGGUUUAAUUCGAUGAUACGCGAGGAACCUUACCCGGGCUUAAAUUGCAACCGAAUAUGGCGGAAACGCUAUAGCUAGCAAUAGCGGUUGUGAAGGUGCUGCAUGGUUGUCGUCAGCUCGUGCCGUGAGGUGUCGGCUUAAGUGCCAUAACGAGCGCAACCCUUGCCGAUAGUUACUAACAGGUCAUGCUGAGGACUCUGUCGGGACUGCCAUCGUAAGAUGUGAGGAAGGUGGGGAUGACGUCAAAUCAGCACGGCCCUUACGUCCGGGGCUACACACGUGUUACAAUGGGGGGUACAGAGGGCUGCUACCACGCAAGAGGAUGCCAAUCCCAAAAACCUCUCUCAGUUCGGAUUGAAGUCUGCAACCCGACUUCAUGAAGCUGGAUUCGCUAGUAAUCGCGCAUCAGCCACGGCGCGGUGAAUACGUUCCCGGGCCUUGUACACACCGCCCGUCAAGCCAUGGGAGCCGGGGGUACCUGAAGUGCGUAACCGCAAGGAGCGCCCUAGGGUAAAACUGGUGACUGGGGC